CAUGCAAGUCGAACGGAGCUGAGAGGAGCUUGCUUUUCUUAGCUUAGUGGCGAACGGGUGAGUAACGCGUGAGUAACCUGCCCUGGAGUGGGGGACAACAGUUGGAAACGACUGCUAAUACCGCAUAAGCCCACGAUCCGGCAUCGGAUUGAGGGAAAAGGAUUUAUUCGCUUCAGGAUGGACUCGCGUCCAAUUAGCUAGUUGGUGAGGUAACGGCCCACCAAGGCGACGAUUGGUAGCCGGACUGAGAGGUUGAACGGCCACAUUGGGACUGAGACACGGCCCAGACUCCUACGGGAGGCAGCAGUGGGGGAUAUUGCACAAUGGGGGAAACCCUGAUGCAGCGACGCCGCGUGGAGGAAGAAGGUUUUCGGAUUGUAAACUCCUGUCGUUAGGGACGAUAAUGACGGUACCUAACAAGAAAGCACCGGCUAACUACGUGCCAGCAGCCGCGGUAAAACGUAGGGUGCAAGCGUUGUCCGGAAUUACUGGGUGUAAAGGGAGCGCAGGCGGACCGGCAAGUUGGAAGUGAAAACUAUGGGCUCAACCCAUAAAUUGCUUUCAAAACUGCUGGCCUUGAGUAGUGCAGAGGUAGGUGGAAUUCCCGGUGUAGCGGUGGAAUGCGUAGAUAUCGGGAGGAACACCAGUGGCGAAGGCGACCUACUGGGCACCAACUGACGCUGAGGCUCGAAAGCAUGGGUAGCAAACAGGAUUAGAUACCCUGGUAGUCCAUGCCGUAAACGAUGAUUACUAGGUGUUGGAGGAUUGACCCCUUCAGUGCCGCAGUUAACACAAUAAGUAAUCCACCUGGGGAGUACGACCGCAAGGUUGAAACUCAAAGGAAUUGACGGGGGCCCGCACAAGCAGUGGAGUAUGUGGUUUAAUUCGAAGCAACGCGAAGAACCUUACCAGGUCUUGACAUCCGAUGCAUAGUGCAGAGAUGCAUGAAGUCCUUCGGGACAUCGAGACAGGUGGUGCAUGGUUGUCGUCAGCUCGUGUCGUGAGAUGUUGGGUUAAGUCCCGCAACGAGCGCAACCCUUAUUGCCAGUUACUACGAAAGAGGACUCUGGCGAGACUGCCGUUGACAAAACGGAGGAAGGUGGGGAUGACGUCAAAUCAUCAUGCCCUUUAUGACCUGGGCUACACACGUACUACAAUGGCGUUUAACAAAGAGAAGCAAGACCGCGAGGUGGAGCAAAACUCAAAAACAACGUCUCAGUUCAGAUUGCAGGCUGCAACUCGCCUGCAUGAAGUCGGAAUUGCUAGUAAUCGCGGAUCAGCAUGCCG
rnacentral:rRNA from 1 species